CGAGACCGGAUGGUUUGGGAGAACCCGACGGCCUCGUUCACGGGAUCGGCCAAGGCGCUUGGGAGAGCGAGAUGGCAGGUCUCACGCAAGGGGAGAUUGACCGAUGCAGAAUGCGCUUCUGAUCGGAUUGUCACGGCAGAUGACGUUGG
rfam:Bradyrhizobium manausense strain BR3351 contig2025, whole genome shotgun sequence.